rnacentral:lncRNA from 1 species
CCCAUCUCUUUUCUUAUAUAUAUUUUUAGAGUUUGUCUUGUGGCAGACUAUACAUUAUAAAUAUGUAUCUUGUUUUUCUUUUAUUUCCUUUCAUCUUUCCUCAUAAACACAAAUAUAAGCGUUAAUUUUUAUAGCGUGUUUACAUUAUGCUGAUUCAUUCAUGCUGCGUGCGAAUCCUGCACACUGUAUUCUCCCCAUGUAUAUCAUGUGUGCUAGGCAUGUAGGAGUAACCUCUCAUUUGCUUUAGAUAGUAACAGAAAAUCUUUAUUGAGCAUGUAACAUGUUCAUAUCACGGCAUCACGCAUGGGCUUAAAGAACUUUCUUUAUAUGGCUUCGGAGUUGAACCGUGAAUCACAAAACGAAGGCUGCAGCAGAUCUUCUCGCCACGGCUUCGCUCGCAGGUUUAACCGGCCGAUUUAUGGCACAUAAAGAGAGAGUACAUAGAACCACACACAUAACAAAAUCCAGAUCCGUUACGUACAGAAGGCAGCUCCCGAAAACAUAAGACAUAUCAUCAGUUCGGCGCUGGCCGGCCGGCCGGCCGACCAUCAAUACAACUAUUGCAAAUUGUAACGCCAAACUUAUCAGGCGAGACAGCACCAAACUAGAAUGAUGAGAAGUUCACCUUGUGUUUUUUUGCUUUCGUCAAGGGCGUUUCAGUGGCGUUACACGGCUGACGACUGACGACCGAAUCUUGAGGGGAUCAG